rnacentral:rRNA from 1 species
GACGAACGCUGGCGGCGUGCUUAACACAUGCAAGUCGAACGGUGAAGCUCCAGCUUGCUGGAGUGGAUCAGUGGCGAUCGGGUGAGUAACACGUGAGCAACCUGCCCCUGACUCUGGAAUAAGCGCUGGAAACGGCGUCUAAUACUGGAUACGAGAAGGGUCCGCAUGGGCACUUUCUGGAAAGUUUGUCGGUUGGGGAUGGGCUCGCGGCCUAUCAGCUUGUUGGUGAGGUAAUGGCUCACCAAGGCGACGACGGGUAGCCGGCCUGAGAGGGCGACCGGCCACACUGGGCCUGGGGCACGGCCCAGACUCCUACGGGAGGCAGCAGUGGGGAAUAUUGCACAAUGGGCGAAAGCCUGAUGCAGCGACGCCGCGUGGGGGAUGACGGCCUUCGGGUUGUAAACCUCUUUCAGCAGGGAAGAAGCGAAAGGGACGGUACCUGCAGAAGAAGCACCGGCUAACUACGU